rnacentral:rRNA from 1 species
CAGUAGCCGCGGUAAUACGAAGGGUGCAAGCGUUAAUCGGAAUUACUGGGCGUAAAGCGUGCGUAGGCGGUUUGUUAAGUCUGCUGUGAAAUCCCCGGGCUCAACCUGGGAAUGGCAAUGGAUACUGGCAAGCUAGAGUGUGUCAGAGGAUGGUGGAAUUCCCGGUGUAGCGGUGAAAUGCGUAGAGAUCGGGAGGAACAUCAGUGGCGAAGGCGGCCAUCUGGGUCAACACUGACGCUGAGGCACGAAAGCGUGGGGAGCAAACAGGAUUAGAUACCCGGGUAGUCCCUGUCUCUUAUAC